rfam:Ovis aries breed Texel chromosome 17, whole genome shotgun sequence.
CCUGGUGGCUCAGACGGUAAAGUGUCUGCCUGCAAUGCGGGAGACCCGGGUUCGAUUCCUGGGUCAGGA